rnacentral:rRNA from 1 species
AACGAACGCUGGCGGCAUGCCUAACACAUGCCAGUCGAACGAGACCUUCGGGUCUAGUGGCGCACGGGUGCGUAACGCGUGGGAAUCUGCCCUUGGGUUCGGAAUAACAGUUGGAAACGACUGCUAAUACCGGAUGAUGACGUAAGUCCAAAGAUUUAUCGCCCAGGGAUGAGCCCGCGUAGGAUUAGCUAGUUGGUGGGGUAAAGGCCUACCAAGGCGACGAUCCUUAGCUGGUCUGAGAGGAUGAUCAGCCACACUGGGACUGAGACACGGCCCAGACUCCUACGGGAGGCAGCAGUGGGGAAUAUUGGACAAUGGGCGAAAGCCUGAUCCAGCAAUGCCGCGUAAGUGAUGAAGGCCUUAGGGUUGUAAAGCUCUUUUACCCGGGAUGAUAAUGACAGUACCGGGAGAAUAAGCCCCGGCUAACUCCGUG